rnacentral:rRNA from 1 species
GCAGUAGCCGCGGUAAUACGUAGGGUGCAAGCGUUAAUCGGAAUUACUGGGCGUAAAGCGUGCGCAGGCGGUUAUAUAAGACAGAUGUGAAAUCCCCGGGCUCAACCUGGGAACUGCAUUUGUGACUGUAUAGCUAGAGUACGGCAGAGGGGGAUGGAAUUCCGCGUGUAGCAGUGAAAUGCGUAGAUAUGCGGAGGAACACCGAUGGCGAAGGCAAUCCCCUGGGCCUGUACUGACGCUCAUGCACGAAAGCGUGGGGAGCAAACAGGAUUAGAUACCCCAGUAGUCCCUGUCUCUUAUAA